AAUUAGCUACACCUUCUUUUUCUGUGGGGCUGGCCUCUGGGAAGGAGGGAGCCCCCCAAAAGGCCGGCACACAGGCUGUGGUGGGUCGCGUACUGAUCGGCGGGGCUUGAUCUCGGGGCACCGCCGAGGGAUUGGGGGCAGCGCCGCAAGGAGGGGAAAGCGUUGGCCGCCGCACAGCCGCCACAGCCCGCAGCCGGGAGGGGGUGGGGAAGGGUGGCGGCGGCGAGGAGCAGCCUGGCUCGGUUGGGUUCAUUCGUCCUUACCGCCCCGCCUUUGGGUGGCAGGCAGCGCAGCGGCCAGAGCGAGCCCGCCGGCGGGACUGCAGCGGCCUCUUCUUCUCGUCUGCCGCGAGCGGCCGAGAAGCUGUUAGUGCUGCUGUCGCCGAACACAAUAAAAGGAGGCGGGUGAAGAGAAGGCAGCCGGCAACGUUUCCCUUUCGCGCUUUGUAGGCCCGGCUCGGCCCGGCUUGGCUGAGGGGUCCUUGAGCAGCCAUCCCCCAUCACACCCGGCGCCUCCAGCUAGUCGCUGGGAAGUCGGCCGGAGGAGGCAAGGCGGCGGCGGCGGCGGCGGCGGCGGGCGCAGGCCGAAGGGAGAGGCCUAGCUUGCCGUACCCUCCACCUCUGAGACGGCGCUUGGGCCAGACCGAAGGAGGGGGGAAAAAAAAGACUGGUCGGCGCGAUGGUGUGAAACGAGAUCAGCGCCUGAGCGAAGAUGGCCGGUGGUGGCGGCGGUAGAAACGUAGGGAGCAUCCGGCAGCCGGCCUUUCUUCUCGAGGCUUUGGAUAAAUCACAGUCCAAGCGGGAUGGAGGUUUUAAAAAUAACUGGAGCUUUGAUCAUUCAGAAGAAAGUGAAGGAGAUACUGAGAAAGAUGAAGCCAAUUUGCUGACAUUUGAUGAAAGCGAUGGAACUUGUAGUCCCAAUGGUGAAAGGAAACCAUGUCGCCAUCGCUUAGGUUUUGGAACCAGAAAUGAAGCCUUAAGGACAUACAGCAGACGAAACAAAAGUGACACUCCUGGAACUUUAAAAAGCACCCCAACUGGACUUAACAUAUCGGGAAGCGGAAGGAAAAUAUGUGUAAAUGCUGAAAAUAUAUCCUGUUCAGAAUCAGAAGUACAGGCCAGACGUUUCUGUGCUCACACACAAACACGAGUAAAAACAGCAGCACAAAACAAUCGGGAUCUAAAAGAAAGGAAAGAAUACCCCGAUAAUAUUCCAAAGGUGGAUAACAAUUGCAAUAAAUGGUCUCAGCUUCAGGAGAUGAAAAGAGUGAUGGAGAACAGAGAUGAGUCUGGUUCAGAAUCAGAGUCAGGAAUUACAAGGAGGGUACAACAGAAACGGCAAUGCAGUUUUUAUCAGGCUGGUUUGCUUCCAUCUCCUGCCACCAAAACUAAUGCAACCCACAUAGAGGGCUUGGAUAGUUACUCCAGAAUUUGCCCAUGCAUUGGAAAAACAAAUGAAAGUGAGACUGAAUGCCAGCUUUCUGGAGUUUUUAGAGGCUUGCAAAGACAAUCCACCCAAACCAUGCCUUUACAUGAUAAUUUGGCACGAGAAUCAAUACAUGACAGUUCAACAGAGCAACAUUCUUUAAGCACAGGAUUAAAUGCAAAAAAGUUUUAUGGAUCAUCUCCUGGUACAGUUUCUACGGAUCACAUGGUGAGGCGCAGUAUAGGCCCUGCUAUGUUACGGCCAAAUGGAAAAGUGGGUUCUAAACUGACUGGACAUUUACGGCAGAAAACUACAACAGCAUCUGAGCUAAAUGAUCCAAUUGUGCUCUCCAGUGAUGAAGAAGAAGAUCAGAUUGGUGUCACUAACAGAAUGGAGAGCAUAUCGCCACGCCCAGCAGAUUCAGCCUGUUCUUCUCCUGCACCUUCCACAGGAAAAGUGGAAGCAGCCCUGAAGGAAAAUACUUGUGAACUAGAACAAAGGCUAACUGGCAUUACAGCAGAAACGGAAUCUACAGUAGCAUUACCAAGAAAAGCAAGAAUGAAAGAUCAGUUUGGCAACAUUGUAUCCAGUGCUCCUGUAAAGCGUCGAAAAGUUUUCCCCCAAGAAACUGUGACUGAUGUCAUAAUACCUUCAAAAUAUCAGAACUCUUAUGAAAGUGUCAUAUUGAACUGUCGGAGUAUAAGAAUAGGAACUCUACGAAAAAUGGUGGUGGAUCCUGUAAUUUUUUGUUUAGACUAUAUUGAGAUACGUUUGGAAGAGUCAGAAAAUGAUACUAGAGAUAUUAAUUUAAAAACUUCUGAACUUACAAAGUGUGAAUGGUGUAGUGUACGCAAAUUGCCAGUGGUUUUCUUGCAAACUGUACCUGCUGCCUGCCAAAGUUUAAGAUCACAUUUGAAGAUGAAUAGGGAAAAAGAUAAUGUAUGGUAUGAUUGUAAAGGAGCAAAUCCAGAAGAACAAUACAUCAUUUUAAUUUUUGAGACAAGUCUUGAUCCUCAUGCAAAUGCAAUAUUUGAAAAAAUAAUAAGUGAAAUUGGUAUCAGGAACAACAUUUCUGAAUUUUUCGUGAAAAUUACUUUUGAAGAAGCAAACAGUAGGCUUGUGGCCUUUACAAAAUCUUUUGAAGAUACUAGAGGAAGCGGUGGUCCUAAAGAAAGCAAAACAAAACAUGUUGUCUCUGAAUCUAAAAUGCAGCUGCAAAAUGCAACACAGUUCCAGUUCUUUGAAGAUGAUGAAAGUGGAGAGCCACAUACCGUCUUCAUUGGUCCUAUAGAAAAGUUGAUAGUUUAUCCACCUCCUCCAGCAAAAGGGGGUAUUUCUGUGACCAAUGAAGAUCUUCAUUGUUUAAAUGAAGGAGAAUUUUUAAAUGACGUAAUAAUUGAUUUUUAUUUAAAGUAUCUGGUGCUAGAAAGGUUAAAAAAAGAAGAUGCAGAUAGGAUUCAUGUGUUCAGUUCCUUUUUUUACAAACGCCUUAAUCAAAGAGAGAGAAGGAACCUUCAAGAAACUUCAAAGCUCACAAUUCAGCAGAAACGGCAUGGUCGAGUAAAAACAUGGACACGACAUGUUGAUAUCUUUGAAAAAGAUUUUAUUUUUGUUCCUCUUAAUGAAGCUGCCCACUGGUUCUUGGCUGUCAUCUGUUUUCCAGGUUUAGAGAAACCAAUAUAUGAAGCUAACCCAUAUUAUCAGGAAAAUGUAUCUAUACAGGUUAAGUCUUCUUCUUUAGAUCAAGAUAGAAGUGCUUCAUCUCCUGUAUGCGCUGAAAUGGAUCUAUUACAGCAGUCCCCUCUAACAAGGAAAUUGUUCAGCAAGAAACAUAUUGCAGAAUUAACUGACACAAACACAGAUUCGGAGGAGAGUGAACCAUUAUACUGCAAAAGAAACUCUUCUGAGAAAAGUGGCUUUAAAAAAUUAAAUCAUUUGAACACUGUAGAAGAAUUCAGGACUAUGGAAUCCAUAUGUCCUAAACAUGAUCUGAAAACUUCAGAGGCAAAUGGAAUGCAAAAUGAACAUAAAAUUCAUAUCCAAGCUAAUGAUGGUUUACAGAAAAUCAGGCUAAACUGUAGCGAAAAAUCUGCUGACAGCAAUAAACUAAAUGAAGAUGAGCUCAUAGAUUUUUCAGAAGACCAAGAUAACCAGGAGAAUAGUAGCGAUGAUGAUGGUCUUGCUGAUGAUAACUGUAAUUCAGAAUUAGGACAAUGGCAUCUAAAGCCGACGAUAUGCAAACAGCCUUGCAUUCUGCUCAUGGAUUCACUAAGAGGCCCUUCCCGGUCAAAUGUUGUCAGAACACUAAGGGAGUAUUUGGAAGUGGAAUGGGAAGUAAGGAAAGGGAGCAGACGAAGUUUCUCCAAAGAUGUCAUGAAAGGCUCAAACCCCAAAGUGCCGCAACAGAACAAUUUCAGUGAUUGUGGAGUUUAUGUUUUACAGUAUGUGGAGAGCUUUUUUGAGACUCCUAUUGUAAGCUUUGAACUACCAAUGAAUCUAACAGACUGGUUUCCACGUCCAAGAAUGAAAACAAAACGAGAAGAAAUAAAAAACAUAAUCCUGAAUCUACAAGAACAGCAAAACAAAGAAAAGAAAGGGCAGAAAGACAGUAAUCUAACAGAGAAAUAUUUUCAGGAAAGAACAGAAUUUAUCAGCAGCUGAAUAUUUUGUCAUUUGUUAGCCAUACAUCAAUUUUUUUAAAAAAAGGGGAAAAAAACAUCCUGAAAUUUACUUGUCUCUACCAAAACAAAGGACUUCUAGUAUUAUCAGUAAGUAAACUUACUGUUGAGGGUAUAAAUCCAAUUCCCCCAAUGUAUUAAGUAGAAUAAUCUGUAUAUAUGUUGAUUAGGCCAACUUUUUCAACCUUUGUAAUUAUGUUUUUCACUACUUAGGAAACCUUUGUUAUGUGUUUCUGUUUAUAGAACUUAAUAGCAAAUUCUAGACACAAAACAAAUAAAAUAUUUAUAGGAUAAAUUGGUUAACUUUUUCUGUGUUAAGUAAAAUUAUCAUUGAAUAUUUCCCAGUAAGACUUCUAUAUUGCAUGGGGAAUGCUUACGUAGAAAGGUAAUCAAAUUCAUAUUUUAAUUUACAAUUGCCAUUACAAGAUGCUUCAGAAAUGUGCAAAAAAAAAAAAAAUGUGUCUAAAUGCAUUGUGUUUCCAAGGUGAGUGGUUUCAUUUAAAAUCCAAGUGCAGGCAAUACAAUAUUCAGCAACAAAUGUUUCAGAUACCCGGAGAAGUAACUUCAAAAGUACUUGGGAAAUGCUGCUUUCUGAUUGCAAGUCUUACUCAAGCAGUAUUUAAUAAAGUCUCAAAGGUUGGCUUGAGUAGUUCUGUUAGAUCCUCCUUUAUUACUUUAUGUGGUUUCUGAAUGUUGUUUAAAUGUAUUUUCACAAUCCUUUCAUUAUAAAAUUGUAUUUUUGGUAAAUGUAGCAGCAAAUUGCCCACCUUAAAUUUUCUGCCAGAAUUCUGAAUGUUGCAUUCAUAUGUGCUUUAUCUAUCUGAACUUUUUUUAAUGUAUGAGUACUAUUUUUUGUAACGCACAGAAAAACCAAAAUAUUGCUAGUCGUCAUUGCUUGCUUGCUUCUUACUUAACUAGAAGUCUCUAAUAAUUCAAAGUCAUCUUGUUGGCGUUAUUUCCAUGAUGUAAUUUGAUUUUUAAAUUGUGUAUAAAGACAGUAGCCUUCUUCUACCAACCUCUAAAAAUCCAAAAGGAAGCAACUAGGUUCUACUACAUUUUAAAAAUACUCACAAGAUAUUGUCCUCAAAUGAGGGAACUGAAACACUUUUGCAAAUAUAUUUGUUGAAUAAUGCCUUUGUUAAAAAGAAAUUCUUCUUGUUGGGAAGGAGGAUGCUUUUGAUGUAAUAAAUGAAAAAUAUUGUAGAUGAAACAGGCAAUAUUGCCAUUGCAACAUACAAUCCUUUUCACCCUCUUCACAGUAGAACAUUCUAUGUAGAAAGUAUUAUAUUUGCACCCAAUUUUUACUAUUAUUAUAUUGAUGUCACCUACACAAUACUCAUAUUUUGUACAGGAUCAGAGAUUGCUUUGCCAAAGAAAAAUUCUGAAGAAUACAUCGCUUUGGUCUGUUGCCCUGCAUUUACUUUGUUUAAAUGCUAUAGACUUCAUUGUAACAAUAAUAGGAUUGUAACUUAGUGGCAAAGCUUUCCAUGUUCUCCUCCAUAAAUUAUUUUUAAUAGAUGCACAAUAGUAGGGCUCUCAUGACACUAUCAGUAUUAAAACAAAUGAAUUGAGAUUAUUUGUUCCUACAAAUUAACGUAAAAUCAAUUAGUAUUAAGAAAAAAAGACAAACAUUUAUUCUACAUUUUCCAGUUUAUGUCUAAAAUUUAUCCAAGUAGCAGUAGAAAAGAGAAGCAAGAAUAAACAAGGGGUUGACAACAAAUGUAAUUUACUUAUUUUGAUAUUUUUUUUAGUGUUACUUGAACACAUUGUAGGGAAAUUUUACAUAGCAAAUGCACAUUCUCGUGCAAGAUUAUUUGUUGCAAUAUUUGGAUUUAUAUGAAAUUAGAUUUUGCUUUUGUUUUUAAUAGGUUGUGGCCUAUCCUAGUUUUUAUUUGUUUGGUUCUGUUCCUGAGAAUGGCCUGGAGCUUGUAUUCCUUUUCAAGAUGUGAAGAAUGCAAUGUUUCUCUCUUAAUAUUAUGAUGAUCACCAAAAUGAAGCUUUUCUUUUACUCAUCUGUGACUUCCCAUGGUUGAGCUGGUUUUACACUGUGCAUUAGCAGCUCUUCAAGCAAAAUACUAGCUUUUUUUUUAGGAAAUCUAAUUUUAUUGAAUUGCUAAUUCAACUGCAUUGUUCUUCUCCAGCAGGAAAGACCAAGAGCUAUGUUUCACUCCCUGCAUUUUUUUCUGCGGUUAAAUCUUUAUUAGAAAGAGACAUUCUCUUUAAUUAUACAUGUUGUUUGUGACUUUUAUCAAUCAGCAUGCUUAUUGCUAACGAUUUUGAAAAAGCUUAUCUACUCUUUCCUACCAGUUUUGUCUUAUUCUAAGGUUGCUGUUUACCCAUCUGUGUUUAAAGUACAUCUCAGCAAAAUAGAAUUGACUCUCUUCAGUCAUGCUUUAAAAUUACAGCAUCUGACAGUUCAGCAGUAAUCAUUUUUACUUGGUUAAACCUUGUCAAGUUCAAAGAAACUUAUUCUCAGCAUGUGUAGGAUUUCAGCCUAUUUUUUUCUCCUUAGGACUAGAACCAAUAGUGAUGUCAAACUUAAUUUUUAUAUAUUAAAUUCUUGACAUGCAAUUAACUAAAUGUGGACUUUCCACUACAAUUUUAGGAAUUCCAUUCAAAUAGUAAAUAAUAAAUGCUCCUCAACUGUGGUCUUGGCCAGAAAGCAGAGCUUCAGGAAAUAGGAUGUGGAUGCUUUGUAUAUAGUAAAUGAGUGAUGAUAUGCUUAACAAGCCCACACAAACAAAACACUCCUCAAAUCACUUUAUUAAAACUACUGGUUUACAAAAUAAAACAUAUAUUGUACAACAUAGAUUCUAUGUAAUAUGAUAGUUCCUUUAGACUCUGUAAAAGAUGAUAGUUCUUUUAUUAUAAAUUGCUACAAAUGAGAUGAAUCUUGACUAGGUCACCAAAGAAUGUUUACACAGUACAUACAAAAAAAAAAUAAUGCAAUAACUUAUCCAGAAUGUAAUUCCCACCCCUGUACACAUCUUUUUUUAAAAUGUAGAGAUUGGAGAAUAUAAAAUCCUCCAUUCCUCUAUUACCCAUGGUUAUGAAUGUGUCAUCAGAUUAAGAUUUAUAAUGGUUAUUAUUAUCCUGAUACAAACCUAAGAAAUAUCAGUGCCUCUUUCCAGACAAUGUGGGAGGAAAGCUGUAUUACAUCUAUGGUAGCCAGAAAUGAGAUAUCUUAACAGCACAUUUUAUUGGAAAGGCAUAUUGCUUUCGUAGACUGUUAAUUUCAUCAGAAGUACACCAUAGCUAUUUUAAUGUAAAAUUUAACCUGGGAGGAGACAAGUAGAGGAAGAAAGAUGUAGAUGAAAGUGUUAAAGAGGACAGAUUGCAAGCAUCCUACCAAUUAGAAACUUCAAUAUGUAAAGUAAUUGUCGUAUUCCCUGAAACUCUAAAAUCUUUUUGUUUCAUAUUGAGUUCUGCCAUCUAUUGUUAAAUUUUCUUUUUUUUGAUACGGUCACCUUGAGAUCUUCAUUAAAAUGUCCUUGGACAUUGA